rnacentral:rRNA from 1 species
CAGAGUUGAUCCUGGCUCAGGAUGAACGCUAGCUACAGGCUUAACACAUGCAAGUCGAGGGGAACGACAUCGAAAGCUUGCUUUUGAUGGACGUCGACCGGCGCACGGGUGAGUAACGCGUAUCCAACCUGCCCAUCACUUGGGGAUAACCUUGCGAAAGUAAGACUAAUACCCAAUGACGUCUCUAGAAGACAUCUGAAAGAGAUUAAAGAUUUAUCGGUGAUGGAUGGGGAUGCGUCUGAUUAGCUUGUUGGCGGGGUAACGGCCACCAAGGCGACGAUCAGUAGGGGUUCUGAGAGGAAGGUCCCCCANAUUGGAACUGAGACACGGUCCAAACUCCUACGGGAGGCA